rnacentral:tRNA from 1 species
GGCGGAUGUAGCCAAGUGAAUCAAGGCAG